AAAAUGUUGAACUCAUACAAGUAAGGAGUAAAAUGGUAGUUACCAGGGAACUGUAGUCGAGGAGGGAGUUGAGAUGUUGGUCAAGGGACACAAAGUUUAAGUUAGAUAGUAGGAAUAAGUUCAAUAGAUCUAUCGUAAAACAUGGUGGCUAUAGUUAAUACCAAUAUAUUAUAGUCUUGAAAAUUGCUAAGAAAUGUUAAGUAUUCUCACUCCCUAAAAAUUAAGUAUGUUAAUUAGCUCAAUUCAGCCAUUUUACAAUGUAUACGUAUUCCAAAAGGAUGUGUUGUAUGUGAUCAGUAAAGAUCAUUUUUACUUGCCAAUUAAAAUUGUUUUUCAUUUUAAAAAAACAGAGAUUUGGUUUUAUGUCUGAGAUUUCAAUCUGUGUGUAAUGGACAGACUAAAUUUGAAUUAUAUCUGGGUUCUCGUGAUGGUUUUGUGAAAACGGAUAUCAAGAUAGAGUGAAAUAGGCUGUGCACACCACUACUGCAAAAACCAAUAACUCAACAUUUCUUUGGACUUAACAGCAUGAAGAUGGCUCUUCUGCAUUGAAUUAGUUCAAUUGAUACCAGUCUUCAGUUAAGUAAGAAAAGUUACUUUAAAAAACCAGCUGGCACUCAUUUUUAAAAUUGUUCGUUCCAUAGCAUUUGUUGUUUAAAUGAAUUCAGCAAGCUGCCAGCCUUUUCCUUCAUAUUAAUCCUUCCAAGUAUUUGAGAGGUUGCCAGAGCAUGUCCUGACAUUACAAAAUCAUUAAAUAAAGCAUUUUCAGUAACCAGUGUUGGAGAGAAGAGAAAAGGAAAUGGGAGGGGAAGGGAGGGGAGAGAAGGAUAGGGAAGAAAGAGAUGAAGAAAAAGAGAGAGCAGAAAGAAAUGGACUGAAAGAGAGAAAGAGAAUGAAUGAAUCAACUGCAAAUCCUACAGAAUCCCUUCUGUUCAUAUCUUUUUGUUUGCUUUAUUUUCCUAUCCCAAUAACAUUUGUUAAGAAUGUGUUAAUAUAUUUUAAAGGCUAUUAUUUCUUAAUAUAACUUCAUAAUAAUAACGACUCUUCCUAAAGCCUUCCAUUUUAAUUUAGGAAUGUUAAGGAAAGAUGGAUGUCCACAGCAGCAAAAUGGACACAGGUGCCCUUUAAAAGAACCAGGAACCAUCUCUUCAGCGCACCAGGCUGAGUCACAGCUGCUCUUUGCUUAGCACGCUGAUCGGGGUACAAAGUGAUGACUCUCUGGAUGAACUUUUCAGGCAGAAGGUCAUUCUGUGGGAGAUGCAGAAAUGACAAAAGGAGCUACCCCACAUGUCACCUUCUACAUGAAGAGUUCCCUUCGUUAAAGUGAAAAGACAGCCUACACAAUAGGAAAAGAUAUUUGCAAAUCAUAUAUCCAAUAAGUGAUGUGAAUUAGGUCAUUCUUGUUACACCCAACUAAAACAGAGUCAAGAAGCCAGCGGGAGAAGCACUCAGGGAAUGCAACAGCACUCUGAGAAUGUAAUUCUCUGCAAGCCUGGAUGCUGAAAUUGCCUGCUGUAACCUGAAACCAGUUUUAUCUCAUGACUGCUGAAACAACCUGCUGCAACUCUAAGACUGGUUUUACUGCCAUCACUCACCAAUGAGAGCUUGCCAGCUCCCCAAAACUUGACUAAUGCCAAAGAACUUUCUGGAAAACAAUACAUAACAUUUAUCUUUUUUAUAAACUCCCAAUCUUCUCUUUGUUCUUCAGAUACACUGAAGACCAUCCUAUCUGUAUGUAUGUCCCUCAUUGCAAUUCUUGUAUCCCAAAUAAAAUGUUAAAUUUAGAA